rnacentral:lncRNA from 1 species
AGAGAGUCUGCCCCAUGCUUCUCUACCUUCUGGUCAAAUCCACACCUGAAGCCACACCCAAAGGGGUGUGACCACUAACACAAAUUCACUGGCAAGGGCCUGGGUGACUGGAAGACUGGAAUUCCUCUGGGCUGGAGCUCCUCUGUGAUUCUACAGGACUGACCACUGCCAGUCCUAAGGAGGAAGAGGUGAUAAUGACUCAACGUGGACAUACUGGGAAGAAAGAAGAAAUUUGGUGAAAUUCUGCAGGGCUGUCCUUGGGAUCCUGUCUGAAGAGAAGGCAAGAGAUGUGCAGAGCCAAACAGUAGUCCUCGGCAAGGCGUGGUCCCGGCCAUUGUCUAGGCUUCAGCCUCUUCUGCAAGGCAGCUCGACAAACCAUGAGAAACGGUGUGAAGCCUCUCUCCAGCAGACACGUUGCCUCCUUGGCGGCGAACCCUGCCUCAUACACUGGGCAUGGUAGUGUAUGCCUAUAAUCAACUAAAGAGGCUGAAGCAGGAAGAUCAAAAAGUAUUCCAGGCCAGCCUGUGGCUAGAUAGCCCAAGCCUGUCUCGAAUAUGGAGAGUUUUCCAGCUCAGUAGAGUGCAUCUACCAUGUUCAGAAGACUACCCAACUCCAUAUGUGAUUCAGCCCAGCUUUUGCCCUCUGAAAUCUUUUGACAAGCCCCAUCUCUCAUCUCCAGUUGGAGUCAUCCUGUCACUGCAAAGACUCAGGAUGGUGCUGAACAGCAAACCAUGUACACAGCCUGGGAUCAGCUUCCAAAGAGCUCUUUGAAGGCUGCUGGGGCUCUAACAAAGUCUCAGAGCAAGACAACAG